rnacentral:tRNA from 1 species
UGAGCUAUGGUGUAAUGGUAGCACAACAGAUUCUGAAUCUGUUUGUCUUGGUUCGAAUCCAGGUAGCUCAA